GAGUGUAUAGCUCAAGUGGUAGAGCACAUGCUUAGCAUGCAGGAGGUCCUGGGUUCAAUCCCCAGUACUUCCA
rnacentral:tRNA from 1 species